rnacentral:lncRNA from 1 species
CCCAAAUCUGGCACUAUGGGUCUAUCAACCAGCUGUGUGCGAUUAUGUGUCGCAGCCUGAUGUCGGUGUAUCUGGUCCCUGCCGCACGGUGGGAGCUUCCCGAGGGAUCUUCCAUCUUCCCCCAGAGGCGCACGCGGGCAGCACGACCCCCCAGACCACCACAGCUCUGUUUCUGCAGCCGCUGAAAGCGGUUGUGCUGCGUUCCAGGAAACGUUAGCUAUCGACCUGGUGUAAAAGGUGGCUAAAUGUUGGAUAAGAGCGAAUCUGCCGUCUCGGCACGCCUUUCGGGAGUGCUGCCGCUGCUCUGCAGGGCUAACCGGUGCAAAUUCGUAGUCGCUGCUGCGUUGAGUUUUGAAGGCGAGACAGAGGCUGCCGCUCAGCUGCAGCUUCUGCUUCUAAAUCGAAAGGCCCCCUCUUUAGGCUGCUGCAUAACGCUGAGCUGA